rnacentral:rRNA from 1 species
GAUGAACGCUGGCGGCGUGCUUAACACAUGCAAGUCGAACGGGAAUUAUUUUAUUGACACUUCGGUCGAUUUAAUUUACUUCUAGUGGCGGACGGGUGAGUAACGCGUGGGUAACCUGCCUUAUACAGGGGGAUAACAGUCAGAAAUGGCUGCUAAUACCGCAUAAGCGCACAGAGCUGCAUGGCUCAGUGUGAAAAACUCCGGUGGUAUAAGAUGGACCCGCGUUGGAUUAGCUUGUUGGCAGGGUAACGGCCUACCAAGGCGACGAUCCAUAGCCGGCCUGAGAGGGUGAACGGCCACAUUGGGACUGAGACACGGCCCAGACUCCUACGGGAGGCAGCAGUGGGGAAUAUUGCACAAUGGGGGAAACCCUGAUGCAGCGACGCCGCGUGAAGGAAGAAGUAUCUCGGUAUGUAAACUUCUAUCAGCAGGGAAGAUAGUGACGGUACCUGACGAAGAAGCCCCGGCUAACUACGUG